rnacentral:misc_RNA from 1 species
UACGAAAGGGGCGAGCGUUAUUCGGAAUCACUGGGCGUAAAGCGUGCGUAGGCGGUCUUGCAAGUCAGGAGUGAAAUCCCGGGGCUUAACCCCGGAAUAGCUUCUGAAACUGCAAAACUAGAGUCCGGGAGAGGUUGGCGGAAUUCCCAGUGUAGAGGUGAAAUUCGCAGAUAUUGGGAGGAACACCAGUGGCGUAGGCGGCCAACUGGACCGGUACUGACGCUGAGGCACGAAAGCGUGGGGAGCAAACAGG